rnacentral:rRNA from 1 species
UACGUAGAUGGCAAGCGUUAUUCGGAUUUACUGGGCGUAAAGGGUCCGCAGGGGGUCUGUCAAGUCGGAUGUGAAAAACCAGGGCUCAACCCUGGCCGUGCAUCCGAAACUGCCGGACUGGAGUGGGCGAGGGGCUGGCGGAAUUCCUGGUGUAGCGGUGGAAUGCGUAGAUAUCAGGAGGAACACCGAUGGCGAAGGCGGCCAGCUGGCGCCCCACUGACCCUCAUGGACGAAAGCGCGGGUAGCAAACAGG